UGUCAACAAGGCCCUCAAACUC
rnacentral:piRNA from 1 species